GUGAAGUCCCAUGAUAUGCUGUCUGCAAGCUGAGGAAGAAGGAAGCCAAUAGUGGCUCAGUCAGAGUUCAGAAGCCUCAAAAGCAGGGAAGCUGAUAGUAUAGCCUUCAGUCUGUGGCUGAAGGCCUGAGAGCCCCUGGAAAACCACUGGUGUAAGUCCAAGAGUCCAGAAGCUGAAGAACCUGGAGUCUGAUGACCAAGGGCAGGAAGCAUCCAGCACGGGACAAAGAAGAAAGCCAGAAGACUCAGCAAGCCAGCUCAUCUCACUUUCUUCUGCCUACUUUGUUGUAGCUGAGCUGGCAGCCAGUUGGAUGGUGCACACUCACAUUGAGGAUUGGGAGGCUGCUGUGUAUGGAUAAGAUACCUGCUACAGCCAGCUUGACACCAUGAGAAGGACAAGAGAAUUGCAGAGACACAUAUCCAGGAUUCUGAUCCAGUUGAGGCACUGAAAUAAUCUAGAACCACCUUCAAAUUUCUUAUAAAGAGAGCUAUGCUAUUAGGAUUUAAUUAAAUGGAUGCCAACAGCAAGUAAACCAUCUCCAAAGAUGCCAUGAAGCUCUCCUAAUUGCAGGAAAAUAUCAGAGGCACUUGAUUUGAGUCUUUCAAGUACGGAAAUAACAAAUUCAGUCUCAACAGACCUAUAGUGAAUGAGGACAUUGAGAUCUGCUGGUUGGAGAUCUUAGUGCCCAAGGAAGAAUGCUUGCAAAAGGAGAUGGAACAGUGUUUCUGUUGCAUUGGCCACUGAGAAUAUCUGGUUAUUUUGAAUUUGUCACAGUCUGCAGCUAAAAGGCGAACAGGAAAAGAAGAGCAGGAAUUCACUGAAUGUCUAUCUAUCAUGUAUGCUGUUGGAGGCACCUGUCUUUCAGUUCAGAGGUUAUGGAUGUAUCUAUCAUCAGUAUUUCGGGAAGUCAGGGACCCGGAACAGAGGGACUUAAUGAAGCUGUGGCAGAAGAAAAAAUUAUGAAGAUUUCAUGGACAUUUAUUAGUUCCCCAAAUUAAUACUUUUAUAAUUUCUUACACCUGUCUUUACUGCACUCUCUGAACAUAAAUUGUGAAGAUUUCAUGGACAUUUAUCACUUCCCCAAUCAACACUCUUAUAAUUUCCUAUGCCUGUCUGUACUUUAAUAUCUUAAUCCCAUCAUCUUUGUAAGCUGAACAUGUAUGUCCCUCAGGACCCUGUGAUGAUUGUGCUAUCUGCACAAAUUGUUUGUAAAGCAUGUGUGUUUGAACAGUAUGAAAUCUGGGCAUCUAGAAAAGGAACAGGAUAACAACGACUUUCAGGGAACAAGGGAGAUAACCAUUAGGUCUGACUGCCUGGAAGCCAGGCAGGACCAAGUCAUAUUUCUCUUAUUGUCAAAAACGGGUAAGAGAAAUAUUGCUGAAUUCUUUCCCCAGUAAGGAAUAUUAAUAACUAACAACCCUGGGAAAAGAAUGCAUUCCCGGGGGGCGGCCUCUAAAAUGGCCGCUCUGGGAAUGUCUGCUUUAUGCAGUUGUAGAUAGGGAUGAAACAUGCCCUGGUCUCCUGCAGCGCCCCCAGGCUUGCUAGGAUUAGGAUAUCCAGCCUGGUGAAUUUUAGUCAGACUGGUUGUUUGCUCUCAAACCCUAUCUUCUGAAAAGAUGUUAUCAAUGACAAUGUGUGCCCGGUGGGACAUGAGACUUCCUCAGCAAUUCUAAUUUUGCCCUGAUCCUGUGAUCUCACUCUGCCCCCAUCUGCCUUGUGAUAUUUUAUUGCCCUUGAAGCAUGUGAUCUCUGUGACCCACACCCUAUUAGUACACCCCUCUCCUUUUGAAAUCCAUAAUAAAAACUUGCUGGUUUUGUGGCUCAAGGGGCAUCACGGAACCUGCCGACAUGUGAUGUCUCCCCUAGACACCUAGCUGUAAAAUUUAUCUCUUUUGUACUCUUUCCCUUUAUUUCUCAGACCAGCUGACACUUAGGGAAAAUAGAAAAGAACCUAUGUUGAAAUAUUGGGGGCUGGUUCCCCCAGUACAUUUCGACCUUGGAGAAUCUGAUGAUUUUGUGCCUGAUGGUUUUCUUUUGUAGUAUCUUGCUGGGGUUCUCCGCAAGAUUUGAACAUUCUCUGAUUUGAAUGUUGGCCUCUAG
rnacentral:lncRNA from 10 species